UUGACGGUACCUCACAACAGCCUAGAGGAGCCUGUCCAUAACCGAUACCCCCCGAUUAACCCAACCCCUCCUAGCCCAAACAGUCUAUAUACCGCCGUCGCCAGCCUACCUUAUGAAAGAAAAAAAGUAAGCAAAACAGCCUACACACUAACACGACAGGUCGAGGUGUAACUCAUGGUGGGGCCAAGAUGGGCUACACUUUCUAUUACAGAAAAUAC
rnacentral:rRNA from 1 species